rnacentral:rRNA from 1 species
CGCCAGACUCCUACGGGAGGCAGCAGUGGGGAAUAUUGCACAAUGGGGGAAACCCCGAUGCAGCGACGCCGCGUGAGUGAAGAAGUAUUUCGGUAUGUAAAGCUCUAUCAGCAGGGAAGAAGUUGACGGUACCUGAGUAAGAAGCCCCGGCUAACUACGUGCCAGCAGCCGCGGUAAUACGUAGGGGGCAAGCGUUAUCCGGAUUUACUGGGUGUAAAGGGAGCGUAGACGGCAGUGCAAGUCUGAAGUGAAAGCCCCGGGCUUAACCCGGGAACUGCUUUGGAAACUGUACGGCUGGAGUGCUGGAGAGGUAAGCGGAAUUCCUAGUGUAGCGGUGAAAUGCGUAGAUAUUAGGAGGAACACCAGUGGCGAAGGCGGCUUACUGGACAGUAACUGACGUUGAGGCUCGAAAGCGUGGGGAGCAAACAGGAUUAGAUACCCUAGUAUAA